AUGGCAUACGAUUUUGGAUUUGUUUUGUAUUGUUGACAGGGUCUGUUUUCAAAGUUCUUGUACUGCUAUUUCUUAAGCAUGGAACAUGUCCCAAUUUGAUGCAGUUUGAUCCAAGUUCUGAACUGACUUCCUGUCAGCUUGCCACUCGAGAUUGUCAGACCUUCCAAAUAGUCUACUUUCAAAGUUUUGCACCAGUACCACUGUUUGAGCAUGGAACAGGUCCCGAUUUUAUACAGGUUGAUCCGAGUUCUGAAGUCUGAACCGACUUGCUGUCAGCUUGCCACUUGAGAGUGUCAGCCCUUUCCUCCAAAUAGCAGCAUGGGGUUCAAGUGCACCACAUUGUACAUCAAUCAAGCUCAACCCACAUUUAUGAUGUGAAAGUGCCGCAGAAGACUGAAAUGUACAAGAUGGGUGCUAUCCAACUGACAUACAGAGGUCAGUCUCGACCAGUCCAGAUCCUUGACAAUUAAGCAUUUAUACCAACUUUGCUUUCAGUUCUGGACUCAUUUGCCCUCUAUUUCCCCUUCAGUCCGUUCUGUCUUUACUUCUUUGGGGGAAAGCACUAGAAUUAGCUUCACUUUUAGGUGACUCAAGUUUGUACUAACUUUAGUACAAAGUUAGUAUAAAGUUGGGUCAUCUAUUUUGGAACGGAGGGAGUACGUGCCAAAGUCGUAUAUAUACCCUGUUAUCUAAUUGGUUUCUUCUAAAACAUCAUGCCGUGCCUUGUUGUCUGGAGUUGAGCUAACUGUGCUUCCUGAAUGGUCCACAGCAAGGAGGGGUGUGAUAAUAUGCUUUACACUGCAUAUUUGAUCGAUCUGGACAUAAUCUCAAUGAAUGCUGCCUGCAUUAGCUUGAUUUUCUUGGCCUACAGGUUGGUGGCACUGCAAAAGCACAGUUAGGCAGGUCUGAUUACUAAAGUGUGCUAAUUUGCGGUUAAGGGUGUCGCGUUAGGCAGGUCUGUCUGGUACGAAAGAGAUUAAUUGCCAUUGCUAUCAAGCCUUUCCAAUUAGGUGGGUUGGGUUGAUCCAGGGCCGUGUUUGGUUCAGGCAAAUCCAUCAUUGGAGGCUAUUAAUUGACAUUAGGUGCGUAUCACUAAACCCCCUGACUGUUACAGCUCAUCUCACCUUUGCUGGGUUUUGCCUGUUCAGUUGUGAAAUGAAUGCAAAUUCUUCUGAGGGGCAGGCCUUGAUCUGUGGGAAGGUGAGGGAGGCCAACUCUGUAAUGCUUGCUCCAAGGUCGGUCAGUCAAGGUCUUGAAGAAUCUGACGUCGAAUGCACCGUGCCACGGCUAAAAGGGCGUCAUUGCGGUGCUCGGGAAUCUUUGUUCGAUUCAGGUCUCCUGCAAAUGUCAUCGGUGUUUGGUUCCAGAAGACCGAAGUUGCCGGCGACGGACCGUCCGGUCUGUUGCAUCUUACACCGGACUAUAUCACCGGUUUUUCUCGGAGAAGAAUGGAGACAGGAUAAAACGGACGGUAACGCCGGCUGGUCCCAGGUCUUGAACCUCUUGGUCGAUAGCCGUGAGGAUCAAGGCGUGAGGUGCUUCACCGGACACCGUAUAUUCCAUAGACCCCCUCAAAUAAAACAGAGAGUAUAUUCCAAAGUCUUCCUCGGAAGCCUAGAUGCUGUCUGCUCCAAAGAUCAACUGUCUCGUCUCAGUCGGCUCGUCCUUGUGGCCUAGGUGCUGCAUCAAUAAUGCCUGACCAGUAGCCCCCUGGCUUCUGAUGCAUUCACGAAAGCAGUGGGUGCAACAGCUUUACUGUAAUUGGCAAAAGCACGGAAAAAAGAUCCAGGAAAAGGCAGAUGAAGGUUGUCAUUGAAGUUUCCAUACGUUUUGUGUUUUUGGAGAUAAUUCAUGUUCUUUAUGGACCUGGCCAUUACGUUCAGCUACAUAUAUAAAGGAAAAUUUAAUAAACUAUGCUCAUUACUAUGAGGAAUAAUAAGGUGGCGACAGCCGGCUCCGAUUUGGAUUGCCCAGCCACCGCUCUGGUUUGGCAAUACGUACACAAAGUCAGAAUUACAAUGCCCAAGGUUUUGGCAAUACAGAUCUAUUGGCGGUAUGUUAUGUUGCACGUGCAAGUGUGAUGAGCUACCAAUUUUUUCUCAAGUCAAUAAUGCAUUGAUGUUAAGAUAUCAAAUGUUGUUAAUGACGCUAGGUUCCUAGUUUUGAAGGCAUUGAGUCCGAAUUUAUCUCUUUUGAUCAUGCUAAAGCUUCAAGAUAAGUGUUUUUUUAGAAUUGAUUGGUGUGGCUCCAGGAUCGAAGAUAUUGUUUCAGUUAAAUUUAGAAAUAUAAGCUCUUGGUGGCUUGGUGUACCUGUAUUUUCUCUCUGAAAAUUCUCUAGAACAAGCAUUGCAAUUUGAUUUUGGCCUUGGGACAUGUAAUAUGUAGUAGUAGUAAUGUUUGAGGGUUGCAUGCUUCGGUGCUAAAUUUGCAUCAGCGGUUGACGUUUCUUGAGUGAUUAUAACUUGUGGAAUAUGUUGUCUCAAACUAUGGAAUAUGAGAUCUGCGUUUAGGAGCAGCCAAGGUGGUUUCUUUUUGUUGUA